UGAUAGCUGUGAAGCGUGAGGUUGCUGCUUAUAUAAGCAGGUUUUCCGUGGAGCGAAUGUCAAGUUAGGAAACUGGCGACAA
rnacentral:ncRNA from 1 species